GCUCAGGACGAACGCUGGCGGCGUGCUUAACACAUGCAAGUCGAACGAUGAAGCCUUUCGGGGUGGAUUAGUGGCGAACGGGUGAGUAACACGUGGGCAAUCUGCCCUUCACUCUGGGACAAGCCCUGGAAACGGGGUCUAAUACCGGAUAACACUCUGUCCUGCAUGGGACGGGGUUAAAAGCUCCGGCGGUGAAGGAUGAGCCCGCGGCCUAUCAGCUUGUUGGUGGGGUAAUGGCCUACCAAGGCGACGACGGGUAGCCGGCCUGAGAGGGCGACCGGCCACACUGGGACUGAGACACGGCCCAGACUCCUACGGGAGGCAGCAGUGGGGAAUAUUGCACAAUGGGCGAAAGCCUGAUGCAGCGACGCCGCGUGAGGGAUGACGGCCUUCGGGUUGUAAACCUCUUCAGCAGGGAAGAAGGAAACGCCGGCUAACUACGUGCCAG
rnacentral:rRNA from 1 species